GACGAACGCUGGCGGCGUGCCUAAUACAUGCAAGUCGAGCGGACUUAAAAAGCUUGCUUUUUAAGUUAGCGGCGGACGGGUGAGUAACACGUGGGCAACCUGCCUGUAAGACUGGGAUAACUUCGGGAAACCGGAGCUAAUACCGGAUAAUCCUUUUCUACUCAUGUAGAAAAGCUGAAAGACGGUUUACGCUGUCACUUACAGAUGGGCCCGCGGCGCAUUAGCUAGUUGGUGAGGUAACGGCUCACCAAGGCGACGAUGCGUAGCCGACCUGAGAGGGUGAUCGGCCACACUGGGACUGAGACACGGCCCAGACUCCUACGGGAGGCAGCAGUAGGGAAUCUUCCGCAAUGGACGAAAGUCUGACGGAGCAACGCCGCGUGAGUGAUGAAGGUUUUCGGAUCGUAAAACUCUGUUGUUAGGGAAGAACAAGUACGAGAGUAACUGCUCGUAC
rnacentral:rRNA from 1 species